GGCGGCGUAGCUCAGAUGGUUAGAGCGAGGGUCUCAUAAUCCCUAGGCCAGUGGUUCGAGUCCACUCGCCGCCACCA
rnacentral:tRNA from 1 species